GCCUACGCAGUUGUCACUAAUCCUUCCGGUUUUCUCGCCUCUUCAGCAUGGUUUCAAUCCCCGGACUACGAGAGCGGGUGUUGGCCAGUCAUAGCUGUAUUGCUGCCAAGGCUUCCGUGGCGUUUCCAGAGCUUCACAACCAAGACUACAUGAACCGUACUCGCGGAACACAUGGCUCUAGUGGCUACCAUCCUGGCCGGAUAACAGCCUGCAAGGAAGCAGAAGCUCCGGUAGGGAGCCAGUUUCCGUGUGUCAGGAUGGCCGAGUGGUCUAAGGCGCCAGACUCAAGGGACCUCAAAACCUUCCCAGCCGCCGUUUGUAUUUUCUUCUCCCGGAAGGCGGUCAUAACUUAGAGGCUCCUAUCGUGGCAGUCCUGCGCUGUCUCUUUAUGCGUAUCUCUAGCGGCUGAACUGCGCCCAAAAGCGAAAAGAAGGAGGUAUUUGGGUUAGGGAAGGAGAAUAGACAUCUUUCGGUUAUUCAUCCAAUCGUAUUCACAGACAAAAUGUACGUCAUAGAUGAUAAAUUUAGUUUAGCACAAAGCGAAAGACUUCCUCGUGUGUUCCCUGGUGGUCUAGUGGUUAGGAUUCGGCGCUCUCACCGCCGCGGCCCGGGUUCGAUUCCCGGUCAGGGAAAUGGUGUUUUUUCUCCCCUUAAAAAAAGAAUAUACUCGGUAAUGUCUUUCAGCAAAGAGCGGGAGAGAGAUUAUGGCAGUCUGCUUCCGUGAAGAUUUACAUACAGCCUUGUAAACCCUGUAGGUUAAACCCUAUAGAGUCGCUACGAGUCGGAAUUGACUCGAGGGCAGUGGGUUUGGUUUGGUUUUUGGAAACCCUAUGGGGAGUUUGUAUCCAAUCGACGGCAGUGGGUUUGGUUUUUUUUUUGAUGGGGAGUUUUACUCCGUCCUAUAGGGUCUCUGGAAACCCUGGUGGCGUAGUGGUUAAGUGCUGUGGCUGCUAACUAAAAGAGCAGCGGUUGGAAUCCGCCAGAUGCGCCUUGGAAACUCUAUGGGGCAGUUCUACUCUGCCUUAUAGGGUCGCUUUGAGUCGGAAUCGACUCGACGGCAGCAGGUUUGGUUUGGUUUAUAGGGUCUCUAUUUUUUUUUUUUUUUUUUUUUAUGAGUGAAAAUCGACUUUAUGGCAAUGGGUUUUUGGUUUAGCAAAGAGUAAUUAGCAGAAAUGGCCCUUACUGCUGAUUAUGACUGCCGGCUGUGUACAAGUCAAUAGGCUUUUACUUGCAAUACCUUAAUCAAAAGGAGAAAAGAGCUCUGCCGACAGCACAGAACGAUCCGUAAGGACUGAUCGGCGGCUGCCAUAAGUGCCUAGUCUUGGAAUUAUAACCCAGGGUUAAAAAAAAAAAAAAAAAAAAAAACUCAACUGCCCAGAAUGCUGUUAGAAUGGCACUUGCUGACUAGAGGGUUGGGUCAGGGAGGGUCUUAGUUACUCACAAUGGUAUCUUGCUGCUAUCGAAAGAAUUAAGGUUAUCCUCCCCCACCCCAACGCCUACUUUUUUAUUAGAAAAUUUUCAAAACUUCAGAACAGUUGAAAUAAAGCCACAGGUACACCGGUGUUCUCUCUACCUAGAUUCAACAUUUAUUAAUAUUUUGCUUCUCUCUCCCUCUCCACAUAUAUACAUUUAUAUAUAUAUAUAUACGCACAUGCACACACAUAUAUACUUUCCCUUCUCCUAACCAUCUAAAAGUUGAGGACGUUUUGACACUACUCCAUGUCACGCCUAAGAAAACUGACAGGAAUUCUAUAAUAUCAUCCUGCACCAGUCCACGUUUAAAUUUCUCCAAUUGUUCCCAAAUGCCUUUUAUAGGGACUUUUUUUUUUUUUCUAAAUCAGGAUCCCAUCAAGGUGCUCGCAUUGCACUUGACUGUCAUGCCUUUUUCUGUCUCCUUUGAUCCAGAACAGCCCCAUCCCCCCCCCCUUUUUUUUUUGUGAUAGUGACUUUCUGAGAAUCCAGGCUGGCUUCCUUGCCUGAUUGUAUCCCUAGUAGGGGAAACUUUGGACUGGGGAGAAGAGCGGUGCAGGCAUGUGGGAUGCGGGUGGGCUUUGCCCCUUUGCUUCAGCCUUCUCCUCUCAUGGAUGACUCUAGCAGCCCCAACCCUGGCUGCUAGAGACCUUCCAGCCACACUUUCCCAACUGUCCACUGACUGCUUCACCAAACCUCAAACUAAACAUAGAAAAUUUAGCAUCCUUUUCAAUAUUGGUUUCUCCUCCUGGCUUCCGUAUGUCUGUGGAUGGACCUACCAUUCUUCCAGUUACCUGCUUCAAAGCUUUAGAAUAUAUAUAUAUUUAUAAUUUAUAUUACAUUUUCAAACGUAUACAAAAGUAGUGAGAAUAAUGAACCCUCAGGUACCCAUCUUCCAGCUUCAAAAGUUAUCAACAUUUUGCUAACUCUUCUAGCUGCCCCUUACCUAUCUAUUUUUGAUGAAGCAUUUAUUUUAAGGAGCCCUGGUGGCGUAGCUCUUAAGGCUUCAGCUGCUAACCAUAGGGUUGGCAUUUUGAAUCCACCAGCCACUCCUUGGAAACCCUGUGGGGCAGCUGUAUUCUGUCCUAUAGGGUUACUACAAGUCAUUUGGGUAUCUCGAUCUUUAAACUGAUAAGCUCUCCUCGUGUCCUUGUGUGUAUGUGAAGUCACCUACUGCAUUGCUACUAACUGCAGCCAGGUUUUCCUGAAGGGCAAACAUUUCAGUUUAGUUAUCUCUUCCCCAGGGAUGGAUGCUGGGUUAUCACCCCCGUCCACUACCACAGCAAUACUGUGAUGACCAUACUUGUUCUGUGUGAGGAUUUGUCUGUAAUGCAUAUCCAGAGAUGGGUAUGCUGGGUCUAAGUUUCAGCAUAUCUUACUUUGAUGAAUAGUUUCCAUUUGUGCUCCAGAAAGUCUACCUUAGUCUAAAUCAGUGGUGCCAAUAGAACUUUCUGUGAUGAUGCAAAUGUCCUAUAGCCACAUGUAGCUGCUGAGUACUUGAAAUGUUGCUAAUUCGACUGAAGAACAGGAUUUAUAAUUUUAAUUAAUUCAAAUUGAAGUAACAUAUGGCUAGUGGCUAUCAUACUGGAUAGCACAGGGAUAAACUCCAACAGCAGAACAAGAAUAUUCACCAAAUUGUCUCAAAUCGGCCUUAUCCAGCAUUCUCAUAUUUGUCAGUAUACGGCAUACCUCAUUGUUUUAAUUUACAUUGCUUUACUUACUAAUUUGUAGUCCCUGGAUGGUACAAACAGCUGAUGUGCUCAGCUGCUGACCAGAAGGUUGAAAGUUCAAGUCCACCCAAGGGCACCUCAGAAGAAAGGCUUAGAGAUUUACUUCUAAAAAAUCAGCCAUUGAAAACCCUACAGACCACAGUUCUACUCUGACAUACAUGUGGUCACCAAGACUCAGAAUCGACUUGAGGGCAACUAGUAGUCAUUACUAAUUUGCUAACCUUUCAGAUUUUCUCUUCUAGGGUUGCUUGUUAGUUUCAUCGCCCAUUUUUUUCUCUAGGGAUGCCUGUGGAAAAUAAUAUAUAUUUAUACUAAAAAACAUAAAUUUUGUUUAAGUUCUAUCUUAACGUUUUUCUAAUAUUCUGAGCCUUUAUGUCUAAUUUGAUGUUGUUCAAAGUAUUCAUCUUUCCCUGGGCCCUUUUUCUAGAACCCCAAGCCAGGGAUAUGUUAGCAUACUGUUUAUGUCCCUGGUGGUUUACAAUCCAGCUUUCCAGAACUAUCCCCAGGCUUAUGAAUAGAGGUCUGCCUUACUGUGGCCUAGCCUUUGGCUUCUCUGCAAUCCUCUCCUGGAGCACAGCACUGAGAUAGGGAAGAAACAGGGACUGAGCCUCUAGGCAAGGAGUCCUGCAACACCUGCAACUUGCAACUUACUUACAAUACUGUGUGUUUGGCUAAUGCAAAACCCCCAUCCUGGAAUGUCCAAUAAGGAAAGAACAAACAAUGUACUCCCUUAUGAGAUUUUUUCAGAAGGACUACUGGAUCUAGUCCUGGGAGCAUGCGCAGAUAUCCACAAGGUGACCAACGGUUGACGUCCACCUGAUCCAAGUACCCACAACAGGAAUCGAACUGGUGCCGCAGGGUGACUGGGCAGACGCUACAGCCCAUAAUAAGUGCUGCCAUCCAAUGCCAGGAGCCUUUACUACGGGUUCCAUCUUAGAUUCCAGAUGCAAGUGCAACCUAAUUUAGUAUGCACAGCCAUUCUGAGAAGUACCCACCUCUUGAAAGAAACCUACUAAAUAUUCAUUACUCUAUUAUCCUCACCAAACCCAUAUAAGCCUCAGAAAAACCUUUGUUUGGUGGAACAGAGGCUAGCAUUGCUUGGUCCCUCUCUGUUCCCUACUCCUGAGCCUUCACUUUCUUUCUGCUGCUAAUAAACCUUUGUUCAUGUGGAACUUCUGAGCCUCUCCCUGGUCAUUCUUGGUCAGUAGAAGGCAAGUACCUAGGCAGGGCUUAGUCCCGAGCUGGGAAGCCCUGCCGUGUAACAGCACAGCGAGUGACCCUGUAGGUUAGUGGUCAGUAGAGCUGGGUUCAAAUUCUGACUCUUCGUUUCUAUCUGAAGGCAAAUUAUUUAUUCUAAGUCUUAGUUUUCUCAUGUAUAAAACUGGCCAGUCAAAGAAUGAAGAAGAAAGAGAAUGAAAUUCUACCCAACCUUCAAGUUUCAGUUUAAAAUCUUCCUUGAUCUUCAAAAGAAAUCGAGAAGAUUCUGCACAUAUAUAAGACAAAAAAUUAAAUAAAUGAAAACGCUGUGUUAUGGAUUGAACUGCAUCCCCCCAAAAUGUGUGUCAACUUGGCUAGGCCAUGAUUCCCAGUAUUGUGUGGUUGUCCACCAUUUUGUGAUCUCAUGUGAUUAUCCUAUGUGUUCUAAAUCCUAACUUAUGUUAAUGAGGUAGGAUUAGAGAUAGUUACAUUAAUGAGGCAGGAGUCAAUCUACAGGAUUAGGUUGUAUUUUGGGUCAAUCUCUUUUGAGAUAUAAAAGAGAGAAUCAAAGAGAGAGGAGAGGGGCUCCAUAUCACCAAGAAAGAAGCACCGGGAGCGGAGUACAUCCUUUGGACCCAGGGUCCCUGUGCUGAGACACUGCUGGACCCAGGGGAAGAUUGAUGAUAAGGACCUUUUCCCAGAGCUGACAAAGAGAGAGAGGCUUCCUCUGGAGCUGACACCCUGAAUUCGGACUUCUAGCCUCUAAUAAAUUUCUGUUUGUUGAAGCCACCCACUUGUGGUAUUUCUGUUAUAGCAGCACUAGAUAACUAAGACAAGCGGGAAGGACAAACACCUAAAUUGAACUUUGAUUCCCUGUAAGUGCUAGGAUUAUGAAAAAUUUUUAAUUUCUUUGUUGUAAUUUCCUGCAUUUGCUGAAUUUUCUACCACAGGCAUGUAAAAUUUAUUAGUAGAAAAAUACUUUACUUGAAACAUUGCUUACACUUUUACGAAAAUUAACUCAAAAUAUAUCAAAGAUUAAAUAUAAAACAUAAGACUAAAUCCAAAACCAAAAAAGUACUCCUUAUUUAAUGGGUGCCAUUAGCCCCAGUAGGUAUAAUCCAGGAAGAAACUCACCUCUGACAUCCCGGGGUCCUUAUUUUAUUACUGACACAUGCCAUCAUCUGUAACUUAUCACACUUAUUUGGACAUUUGUCUUAGUCCCUAAGCUUAUUUCCAAGUUCACCAAGGGCAGGACCAGAUUUCAGUUGUUUAAUCCAUGUGAAUGCCAUGCUUGCAGUGUGAUUCAGUGUGAGAAUGGGCGUGCCAAUGGCCUCGAGGGGUUGGGCUGCUACAGAGAGUUGCUCUGUAGGGAGGCAGUUGGGGUGUGGGAAGGUCAGUGUUGGGAGAGGCAAACCAUCAUGUGCCCUGAGUAUCCCUGCAUAUUCCUGUUGGCUGUGCCAACAAUGCAAGGCCCUGACCACUCUUUCUCAGGUGGCAUUUCAGUGAGCAAUCCUAAGGGAUAAGUUAAUGUCUCUUCCCACAAACAAACAGCAAGCUUGGUAAAUGCUCUGAGCUUAGUGUUCCUCGGCUGCCACAGAAGCCCAUUACACGUGUAGCGUCCACCUGGGCCCCUCUGCACUGCCUGCUUGGGACUUGCUGGGGGCCAUAAGUAAUAAAGUCCUGUGUCUCAGAAAUUUUGUUCAUGAAAUAAUUAGCAAUUAGCUUUGGAGACAUUCAGCAAUGGAUAUGUUGGAUAUGUUGAAUGGAUCAACUUAUCUAGGAAUCUCAUGUUGUCCACCAGCAUCCAUUAAACUGUGGCAGGCUAACUUACUAGCUUGAUUCUGAUUCUGACAGAGUCGGUAGUGUGCUGUUCUGUCCCAACCUUCAGGCUCCAAAGAGAAUAAUACUUUCUCUGCUGGUUCAGAAGAUCUUCCCAAAGGUUCCUUGUUGCCUUGUGGUGAUGAACUGUCCCCUUCCUUACCUUAGAGCCUCCUGGCUUCUUCCCGUGGCCCUCUGGGUGAUUGCUCACCCCUAAGAGGUCCCCUAGGGACCAAAUUCAGGCCAGGUCACUGCCAAAUAAUGGGCCUCUCUAGAACUUACCCAUCUGUCUGUGCAGCAAUCUCUGUAUCUGUCUGCUUGAAAGGCCUCAUGUGUAUCAGUAUCAACUCCAUCUGUCUGCCUCUUUACACCUCAAGGCUAUCAGGCAAGGAAAACCCAGGCGAAUGGGGGAGGGUUGGAGGCAGACCAUGCAGCCUUGGCCCUGUGCAUUCUGAGACCUUUUACUCAUUCAAGCAUUCAGCAUACUUUUUGCUGAAUGUUUCCAAAUUUAAUUGCUAAUUAUUUCAGGAACACGAAAAAGAAAAAAAACAGAGCCGCUGGGCAUAGAAGAAGUGAGAAGAUCUGGAGUUGGAUGAUUUAGGUUUUAACCAUUUUUUACCAGCAUUUGUGACCUCAGGCGAGUUAUUUAACCUCUUUGAAAAUCAGCCUUUCUCAUCUGUAAAAUGGAGUCGGUAACAUUAGAAUAAGUACACCAGGGCUGUUGUAAUGACAUGGAGUAGCAUCUAGCAUGUUGCUAGUCACACAGUUGCCUCCACCUAAGUAUUUAAGUUUAAAAUCCAUAGUCACAGGAGAUGGAAGAGUGUAGGAGGGAAGUGGAGCUGUGGCCGGACUCAGAUUAAAGCAAUAAUAGUGUGGAGCACCCCAGAUGAGGCCCUUGGAAGGUAGACCUCAACACUCAACUGUAUAAUUAUUUGGGUGUCUCAUAGAAUGUAGAUAAAGCACUUAGUAACAGUCUUAAAUUCAAGGAAUACCUUAUUGUUUUAAUCGCUAUAUCACAUGUUGUUGUUGAUAAUGUCAAGACAUUGCUCACAAAGCUAAGGUCAUGGGUAUAAUAGGUUUUUAUGCCUAGUAUUAGAGUCACUCUGUUUCUUGGCCUUAGAUGACACCUUUAGGUCUGGCAUCUUUCGAUGAAGGUGGAGAUAAGGUGAGACACUGAGUUUUUGGUAUUUUCCUGGUGGGCCAAGGUGAGUGGAAUCACUCUACUUCCUGAGUGUUCCGAAGUUGGCUAUAGCUCACUUUUGGAGGAGAGCUCUUUCGGGUCUCUACGGCCCUUUGUCAAACCCAAGCCCACAGCCUCUUGGAUGCUCCGUGCUGCCCUGAGGCCUGAUUUAAUGGCGGUGUCAAUCCAGCCGUGGGGUAGGCUUGUGUGCUCACCAGCAAAGUGCACCCGCCCUUCAGGCUGGCUGAGUUCCCGGGCAUAGUCCACAUACUGGUAGGGGGUGAAGGAGACAAAGCCUCCCAUGGAAUAGGGGUCCUGGCUCCAGUGCUUGACCGCGGAGUAAGGGCAGAGGGCCUGGAGCUCCUCCUUGGGGCGGUCAUGGACUGCAGCCAGGUCAUCCAGGAUGACAUCCACUAUCCGGGCAUGGUUCAUGGAAGUGAAGAACGAAGAGUCAUCAUCCAGGGUAUAGGAGGCCAGGAUGACUCCUGUGCCAUUGGGGAAGACGUGGUUGGGGUAGUAUAUGAAGCGGGCAGGCCGGUCAGUGGUGGACUUGCAGCCAAAGAUGCCAUCCUGCUCCCAGAAACGCUGUGUGCAGGCCAAGAUCACUUUGGUGGCACUGCUGUAGUGGACAGAACGCAGUGCGUCCUCCUUACCAGGGGAGAGGGGUGGCCGGAAAUGGAGGAGUCGGGCAGCCUUGGCCGUGGUAGCCACAAUCACAUAAUCUGCAGUAAGACUUUCUUUGGGUCGCAGAGGGUCAGAUGUCCGAUAUGUGACGUGGACGAGAUCCCCGGAUGCCUCCACCUCCUCCGCUGAUGAGUGGAGCUGCACUGUCCCGGGCAAGAGGGCAUCGUGCAGGGCCCUGGGGAGCUGGUCAAAGCCGCCAACGAUUUCGUCAAACCUGAGAAUAAGCAGCCAAAGGAGGUAGAGGGAAGCAGUCAAUGGACAAGGCCAUGCAGUGAGUAGGUGGUUUGAACUGGAUGGGAGCCUGGUUCUCUAAUGAUUUUGUUCUGGCCCUGUGUGCUAGAGAGGCAAAGCAGUUGGCAGGGAGGCUUGCCAGCCAAAGUCGCCAUCGGCUACAGGAAACUACAGAAAGGCACCUUCUUUGGGCUGAAAAUCAGAAAAGGCAUCCCUUCUAGGAGUCCCUGGGUGAUGCAAACAGCUGUGCUCAGCUGCUAAUGGAAAGGUUGGAGCUUAGAGUUCACCCAGAGGUGCUUUGGAAGAAAGGCCUGACGAUCUACUUCCAAAAAAUUCAGCCAUUGAAAACCCCAUGGGGCGCAGUUCUACUCUGACACACUAGGGGUUGCCAUGAACUGCGAUCAAAUCCAUGGCCACUGGUUUUUUUUUUUUUAGUUCCUAAGAGGGUACAGGCCCUUGCAAGGAGUCCCUGGGUGGUGCAAAAUGAUUAAACACUUGACUUCUAGCCAAAAGGUUGGUGAUUUGAACCCACCCAGAGCUGCCUCAAAAGAAAGGCCAGCCGAUCUGCUUCUGAAAGAUUACAGCCUUGAAAGCCCUAUGGAGCCUAGUUCUGCUCUGCAUACAUGCUGUCGUCAUGCAUCAAAAUUGCCUCAAAGGCAGCUAACAACAACACAGCCCCUUGCUAGAGAGUACAAGCUUGGAGAAUGGACAGUGGACUGGGCCUCAGUCACUCCUUUCUUGCCCCUGUGUAUGGUCACCUCCAUGUAUAGGGACAGGAUGCCCAGCUCCUUGGGCAGACAAAGACCCCAGGCUCUGACAGCAUUCUCAGCUCCUUUAAUGCCCUCGGAGAGAGCCUAGUAGCAUGGAUGCAAUCUUAGUUCUAUUAUGAUUGCCCACUUCUCUGUCUUUGGAUUCACGCCCCUUCAAGGCAGCCCUUGGUUUGUAUUUAUACUGAUUUAUACUGACUAAGGUCCCUGGUCCUAAUGGUGCAGUGGUUAAGAGCUAAGGCUGCUAACGAAAAGGUCAGCAGUUCAAAUCUACCAGCUGCUUCUUAGAAAUCCUAGGGGGUGUUCUACUCUGUCCUAUAGGGUCACUGUAAGUCAGACUUGAUGGCAAUGAGUUUAGUUUGGUUUUUGGGGUAGCACAAAUAGUUAAGGAGCUUGGCUGCUCUCUGAAAGUUGGUGGUUCCAGUCCACCCAAAAGAAAGGCCUAGCAACCUCCUUCUGAAAAAGAAUCAUCUGUUGAAAACCCUAUGGAACACAGUUCUACUCUGACAUACAUGGGGUCGCCAUGAAUUAGAGUUGACUACAUGGCCAAUGGUUGUACCCUGAAUAAAAAUGCUGGGCAGAAGUCAGGGGGAUACUACAGGGGAAAGAAGAGGAUCAAGCAAAUAACUACAUGAAUUGCCCCCUCAGCCUCUCAGGGUUGACAGCCUCAGCCUGACCUCUCCUAAAUGUCUGCAGCCUGUUUUGUAAAAGUCAUUCUUAUGAAUAUCAAGGGAGAGUAUAUCCUGGUGUACUGUAUCUUUGCAGUCCCAGAACUUGUGGCCAGGGGCCAGUGGUUUGGUGGCUGGGGGCCUAGAGUGGGUGCCUCUGAAAGACAUCAACGCCCCCUGCAAAGACCUUCAGAGCAGAGCUGCUUAUGUAACAGGAGAAAAGGCAAGGCCCAGAGCAAAGAAGCUCUGCAGCCUUCUGAUGGGAUAGCCAAGGGUUCUUAAAGUGGACAUUCCAGACAGGCAGCAGCAGUAUAUCCUGGAAAGUAUUAGAAAUGAGAAUUCUCAGGCCCCGCCCAGAUCUUUGGAAUUAGAAACUCUGGGGGUGGGGCCCAGCAAUCUGUAUUUAACAAAUCCCUGGGUGAUUCUGAUGCACACUGGUAUUUGAAUAUCUCUGGCUUCUAGUGCCAACUCCCUCCCCCCACCCUGCCCCCGUUUUCUUUUGGUAUUCUCACCUGAUUUUAUCUAGUCCUACCAUUUAUAAUAUAACCACUGCUCUGUUUAGUAACUGACCAACCCCUGCCCAUUCUUCCUCCUCCCUGCUACCCGUUCCCACCAGGGCUCCUGGCUGAAGGAGAUGAUAGCACGCAUGGUCUCUGUGAAGGCCUCAUAGUAGCCGGCUUCUGCAUUCAGCAGGUCCCCAAUCAUCUGUACAGCCCCGCGGCUGAGGUUCCCCACCUUAAUCAGGUACUCCUGUGACAUGUGCAAGGAGAGAAGGCAGGCAGGUCAGAAUGCUUGGGCGGGGGAGGGGAAGAUGUGUGACCCCUUGACAGGGUAGAAUGACAGAGCACAGAUGCACUUAUGGGGCUGCAGAGGGCCUGCCUGGCACACGGGGCUAUGAGGACAGUGGUCAAAAUGCUCUCUUCAGUCCUGAUAACAAGGAAAAUAGCUAACAGUGCCACUCCCAUCUGCAGACCCUAUUCUGUGCUCUUUGCAUAAUUCACCAGUUUAAUUUUCAUAUGUAAUCCUAAAAGUAGUUUAUUACCCCCAUUUUACAACUGGGGAAACAGGUCCAGUCUUCAUGUGCACCUGCAAACACCUGCAAACUGGCUUCUCUGCCCUGCCCUGUGAGAGCUGUGCUCUCGCACCAAGCUAGGAGAAAUCUGAGUACCCACCGUUACUACCACUCUACAGCAAGUGACUGAGGUUUGCUUCCUGUGUACCUGUCUGGCUGGAGACUGUACCCAGCCCCCUGCCCCUGUUCUCUUCUUCCAGGCAAAGCCAGUGUGGACACAACAAAGUUGGUUAUAUUGACCAGUCCACAUUUGCGCAGAACGGAGGGGCAGAGGGAAAGUCCUAGAUAAAUUGAGUGGAGCUAGUCCCUUUUUACCGGGGCAGAAAGCUUUGGGGCCUGGGCAUCUGGGGUAUAGGAAGAACAAGACUGGCCUGGUGCGGUGCUAGCCUGGGUAAAACCCCUUAACUCAAUAUGCUCCUUUAAACAAGAAGACAAGACCACAAGACCCCACCAUCCCAGGAAAAGCAACAACAAGAAAGAGGAUUGGAGGGACACUGGAAUAGGAGACCAGCAGCCUGGACAAUCAGGGCCCAGACAGAGUCCUUUGGGUCCCAGCCUCAGUGAGUGGAAAGGGUUUGUGUGUUGAGGUCAGGGGCACAGUCAUCUCUAACUCACUGUAUUUACAAGUACCUGUAUCUCUUCUUCCGCGUCUCCUUCCCUCUCUUCCUUCUGACACACUGACUACUCAGACCAUAUAUAAAAAUAGAACUUGAGUCCAUAAUCUGCAGCAACCAGUCCAGGAAACCAAACCACAACCUCUUUAGCAAUCGAUCCAAAAUGGUCAGAGCUUUGUCAACAACUGCCAGCUUCCCUGAUUUUUUUUUUGCCCUCACUUCCAAUUUAAGAUCAACCAGAGAAAGCUGAAUAUGCUCUCCUAACAAAUCACAGAGGAUACCCUGCUUCUCGUUAACCUGCCAACAGUUUCCCUGUGUCAACAUCCUUCAAUCAGUGCACACCUGACACCUUCCCCUUUUUCCACUAUAAGUCUUUCCUGCUCCCCUGACUGCCUUUGAGUCUCUGCCAAAUGCCAGUAAUAGUGACUGACUUCCUGCUACACAAGCUCUAAAUAAGUAGUCUUUGCUUGUUCUUAUCUGGGUGGUCUUCGCAGAUUUCCUUCCUUCCUUUCUCCCUUCCUCCCUUCUUUUCUUCCUUCCUUUCUUCCUAUUUCCCUUACUCCCUCCCCCUUCCUUCCUUACCUUCAUCCCUUCUUGAAGAAGAAGAGGGGGCCAGCCAUGUGAGUAUGUGGGUGAAGAGACUUCUAGUCAGAAUGAACAGCCAGAGCAAAGGCCCUGAGGCUAGAUUGGACUUGAUGUAGUUAAGAAACAGCAAAGAUGCCAGUGUGGCUGGCACAGGUGAGUGGGAGUGCAGAGGACCUGGGUCUUAGUUUCAAGGUGCCCUGAGCCAUGGGAGUGUUUAGAGCAGAGAUGGGGUGGCUUCUGUCUACUGCCUUCCUCUGGCUGUGGGCCGGGAGAGGUUUUCAUGCUAGGAACACCAAGUUUAAGGCUAAACAUCCCUGUCUCCUGCUACAGGCCUGGGACUGGGGCUGGUAGUCCCACUGUAAUUUCUGGGGAGCCAUGACAGGAUGGGGCGUGGGCAGCAGGAAGAGGGAAUCUCAGGGAACUGACCUUGGUGGAGAAGGAGUCGUACUUCUCCAGCACCUGGCUGCAGCUACUUGUCUUCAGCUCUUCCACCACCUGGGCACAGGGAAAGAGGGAAGGUGGAUGCACUGACAAAGGGUGCCACCAGCAGAACUGAGCUCCCCCCAAUGCCUACGCCUCACCCCCUGGCCCAUUCGGCCCUUCCAGGCUCUAUGCUCUCAUUUACUUGCUUCAGAUUGUGUACGUGUCUGGGCUUUGCUUUCCGAGCUCUCUGGGUUCUAAGACUGUGAGUGUUCUGAUGGCAGAAACAUCACCUCCACUAGCGGACAGACUACAAGGUGUGCAAUGGUAGGGGCUAGGGCUCUCCCAUCCAACCGGGAGCUCUAGGAGCAGGGAAGUCUACCUCCUUGUUCCUAGAAUAGGCAAAUUUCUAUUGGCCUAAAAAGGCCAUGGGCGUCCCCGGGGUGGUGCAAAUGGUUAAGUGCUUGACUACUAGCCAAAAAGUUGGCAGUUUGAAUCCAUCCAGAGGCACCUUGAAAGACAGGCCUAGCAAUCUUCUCCUGAAAGGUUGAAACCUUAAAAGUCCUAUUGAAUGAGGUUCUACUCUGCACAAAUGGGGUUGCCAUGGGUCAGAAUUGACUUGACAGCAACUAACAACAACAAUAAGGCCACAGUGAUGGCCUGAUAGCCUGGUCCCAUUGAGCUGUUGAUGGAGGUUGGAGUGAAGGGGUCCAGUGUUGGGCUGGCUAAUACUCCCUGGGGAGCCCAAUACACCUGGACAAGGGUUGCUGUCCCACAAAGCCUGGCUGUCAGCACAGUCCCCAUGGGCAAGGAGUCAGAAAAAAUGAAGGUGUUUUCAAAGUUGAGCAAACAUCAGUGAGACAGAGAAGGUGGGAAGCAUGUGUGUUCCAGCAGGACCUGGCUGCCUUCCUCCUCCACCAUGUAUCUAUAAUGAGGAUGAUUAUAAUCCUAGCCGUCACCACCGGUGGCACUGCUCUUAUCACUUUCCACACAUUCUCUCAUUUAAUCAUCACAACAAACUGGGAGAGAAACUCCACAAUGACCAUUAUUUUACAAAAACUGGGGCACAGAGAGGGUGUGUAUCUUGCCCAGGGUCACACAGAGAGAAGUGCAAAGAGCAGCAUUUGAAUUCAGAAUCUGGCUUCUACAACACCCUGCCCUAAACUUGGGUUUCCCUGAUGGUUUUAAUGGUGGCAAGGUGGUUGAGAGCUAAGGCUCCUGCAAAAAAGGUCAGCAGUUUGAAUCCACCAGCCGCUCCCUGGAAACCCUAUGGGGCAGUUCUACUCUGUCCUAUAGGCUCGCUAUGGGUCGGAAUCAAAUCGACGGCAACAGGUGGAGGUGACAUCGAUCGAGGGCUUGCCUGUAGUGACUAUGCAGAUGGACAGUGGUGGCCACACAUUGGGGUCAACCCGCACUUCGCUUUCACUCACCUUCCUCAGUGACUGAUCAAACAGCUCUUCUGCUGUCUUCCCCUCCUCAUCUGCUCUGACUGUGUAGCCCAGCAGGUGGGGGUUGGCCUGCAUUUCUCCUGUCCGCCGCCGCACCCCAU